rnacentral:rRNA from 1 species
UACGUAGGGUGCGAGCGUUAAUCGGAAUUACUGGGCGUAAAGCGUGCGCAGGCGGUGAUGUAAGACAGUUGUGAAAUCCCCGGGCUCAACCUGGGAACUGCAUCUGUGACUGCAUCGCUGGAGUACGGCAGAGGGGGAUGGAAUUCCGCGUGUAGCAGUGAAAUGCGUAGAUAUGCGGAGGAACACCGAUGGCGAAGGCAAUCCCCUGGGCCUGUACUGACGCUCAUGCACGAAAGCGUGGGGAGCAAACAGG